rnacentral:siRNA from 1 species
UGUCCGAACAUGCCCUUGCCUC